rnacentral:rRNA from 1 species
GAUGAACGCUCGCGAUAGGCUUAACACAUGCAAGUCGAGGGGCAGCAUGGUCUUAGCUUGCUAAGACUGAUGGCGACCGGCGCACGGGUGCGUAACGCGUAUGCAACUUGCCUCACAGAGGGGGAUAACCCGUCGAAAGACGGACUAAUACCGCGUACACUUGGGAUAGGGCAUCCUGACCCAAGGAAAUGAAAUUCGCUGUGAGAUAGGCAUGCGUCCCAUUAGCUAGUUGGUGAGGUAACGGCUCACCAAGGCGACGAUGGGUAGGGGAACUGAGAGGUUGAACCCCCACACUGGUACUGAGACACGGACCAGACUCCUACGGGAGGCAGCAGUGAGGAAUAUUGGUCAAUAGGCGAGAGCCUGAACCAGCCAAGUCGCGUGAAGGAUGACUGUCUUAUGGAUUGUAAACUUCUUUUAUACGGGAUAACAAGAGCCACGUGUGGCUCCCUGCAUGUACCGUAUGAAUAAGCAUCGGCUAACUCCGUG